rnacentral:rRNA from 1 species
GGGUUCUACCGUUGGUCGGGCAAUAGUCUGUACUAGCGUGUAGAAUUUCUACCUUCUGGGGAACCAUCAUGUUAUUUAUUUAGCGUGGUGGGAAACCAGGACCUUUACCUUGAAAAAAUUAGAGUGUUCAAAGCAGGCUUACGUCUGAAUACAUUAGCAUGGAAUAAUAAAAUAGGACGGUGGUCCUGUUUUGUUGGUUUCUGAAUCACCGUAAUGAUUAAUAGAGAUAGUUGGGGGCAUUAGUAUUCAAUUGUCAGAGGUGAAAUUCUUGGAUUUAUUGAAGACUAACUUCUGCGAAAGCAUUUGCCAAGGAUGUUUUCAUUAAUCAAGAACGAAAGUUAGGGGAUCGAAGACGAUCAGAUACCGUCGUAGUCUUAACCAUAAACUAUGCCGACUAGGGAUCGGACGAUGUUAAUUUUUCUUGACUCGUUCGGCGCCUUACGGGAAACCAAAGUGUUUGGGUUCCGGGGGGAGUAUGGUCACAAGGCUGAAACUUAAAGGAAUUGACGGAAGGGCACCACCAGAGGUAGAGCCUGCGGCUUAAUUUGACUCAACAUGGGAAAACUCACUAGGUCCAGACAUAGUAAGGAUUGACAGAUUGAGAGC